AGAGUUUGAUCCUGGCUCAGGACGAACGCUGGCGGCGUGCUUAACACAUGCAAGUCGAACGGGGCAUAGAGAUAUGCCUAGUGGCGGACGGGUGAGUAACACGUGAGCAACCUAUCCUAUACAACGGGAUAACACAGAGAAAUUUGUGCUAAUACGGUAUAAGACCACACUCCGGCAUCGGAGAGGGGUAAAAGCUGAGGCGGUAUAGGAGGGGCUCGCGGCCCAUUAGCUAGUUGGAGAGGUAACGGCUCACCAAGGCGACGAUGGGUAGCCGAUCUGAGAGGAUGAACGGCCACAUUGGAACUGAGAAACGGUCCAAACUCCUACGGGAGGCAGCAGUGGGGAAUAUUGGGCAAUGGAGGCAACUCUGACCCAGCAACGCCGCGUGAAUGAAGAAGGUCUUCGGAUUGUAAAGUUCUUUAGCGAGGGACGAAAAGAAUGACGGUACCUCGAGAAUAAGCCACGACUAACUACGUGCCAGCAGUCGCGGUAAUACGUAGGUGGCGAGCGUUGUCCGGAAUGACUGGGCGUAAAGGGAGCGUAGGCGGCACAACAAGUUAGGAGUGAAAUACCGUGGCUUAACCACGGAACUGCUUUUAAAACUGUUGAGCUAGAGUGAUGGAGAGGAAAGCGGAAUUCCUAGUGUAGCGGUGGAAUGCGUAGAUAUUAGGAGGAACACCAGUGGCGAAGGCGGCUUUCUGGACUGUAACUGACGCUGAGGCACGAAAGCGUGGGGAGCAAACAGGAUUAGAUACCCUGGUAGUCCACGCCGUAAACG
rnacentral:rRNA from 1 species